rnacentral:rRNA from 1 species
UACGUAGGGUGCAAGCGUUAAUCGGAAUUACUGGGCGUAAAGCGUGCGCAGGCGGUUUUGUAAGUUUGUCGUGAAAUCCCCGGGCUCAACCUGGGAAUUGCGAUGAAGACUGCAAGGCUAGAAUCUGGCAGAGGGGGGUAGAAUUCCACGUGUAGCAGUGAAAUGCGUAGAGAUGUGGAGGAACACCGAUGGCGAAGGCAGCCCCCUGGGUCAAGAUUGACGCUCAUGCACGAAAGGCGUGGGGAGCAA